AUGGAGUGGCAGGCUCUCCCAUGCUUCACCGGGACCGCCGUGUUGAUCCUUCUUAUAGUCCUGCCGUUUAGUGCGUCCGACAACCGGCUUGUCCCCGGAAAGCCGCUCUCCCCUGGCUCCAUCAUCGUCUCCGACGGCGGUGCCUUCGCCUUGGGCUUCUUCGCCCCCUCCAAAUCCACUCCCACCAAGUUGUACCUGGGGAUCUGGUACAACGGCAUCCCCAAGCUUACGAUCGUGUGGGUCGCCAACCGAGAGACCCCGGCCACCAACACCACCUCGUCUACACUCUCCUUCACCAACACCUCCAAUCUCGUUCUCUCCGAAGGUGAUGGUGGGGGACGUGUUCUUUGGGCAACAACCAAUGUGGGUGCUGCACCAGCGUCAUCUCCCCCGACGGCAGUGCUUCUGAACACCGGCAAUCUCGUCAUCUGCUCCCCAAACGGCAGCAUGUUGUGGCAAAGCUUUGAACACCCGACUGACACGUUCCUCCCCGGCAUGAAGAUCCGGUACAGGUACGGGGCGCGUGUGGACAACGAGCGCAUAGUGGCCUGGAAGGGCUCUAGCGACCCCUCACCAGGGCGCUUCUCCUUUGGGGUCGAUCGGAACACGCUCCUCCAGACGUUCCUCUCGGACGGGUCACGCCCGGUGUUACGUAGCGCCACAUGGAUGGGGGACCUAGUGAUGAGUCAACGCAUGAACAACAACUCCAUUAUCGUCUACACCGCCUUCGUUGACAACAAGGAAGAGAUAUAUGUCACGUAUACCCUCUCCGAAGGUGCUACCCACACAAGGUACGUGGUGACCUACUCAGGCGAGUACCAGCUCCAAAGCUGGAGUAGCUGGACAUCAACGUGGGAUGUCCUCUGGAAGUGGCCAUCCGCCGAAUGCACCCGCUACGGUUACUGCGGCCCAUAUGGCUACUGCAACGAGACGGUGUUGCCAGCCCCAUCAUGUAAAUGCCUUGAUGGUUUUGAGCCAGCAAACAUCGAGGAGUUGGCCAGUGGUAGGUUCUCAACCGGGUGCCGACGGAAGGAGCCACUGCGCGGGUGUGGCGACGGUUUCUUGGCCUUGCCGGGGAUGAAGUCACGAGACAGGUUCACUCGCAUAGGCAUUGGCGGAAGUACAUUUGAGGAGUGUGCGGCUAAGUGCAACCGCAACUGCUCAUGCGUUGGUUAUGCAUAUGCGAAAUUGAGCAGCGGCAGGUCCGGCGGAGAUGUGGCAAGGUGCUUGGUGUGGGCUGGGGAGUUGGUUGAUACCGGAAAGUCUAGCGCAGUGCUCGGCGGAGAAACACUCUAUAUCCGGCUUGCAGGCAUGGAUGCAUCUACUGGUAAAAGGACAAAGAGCAAUGCUGUGAGGAUUGUGCUACCAAUUUUUGGCAGCAGUGUUCUCGUGCUCAUAUGUAUCUCCCUAGCAUGGUUCAAAUUCAAAGGUACCUUUGGUUACUAUCCUUAG
rnacentral:rRNA from 1 species